CCUACGGGAUGCUGCAGUGGGGAAUAUUGGACAAUGGGCGAAAGCCUGAUCCAGCCAUGCCGCGUGUGUGAAGAAGGCCUUCGGGUUGUAAAGCACUUUCAGUGGGGAAGAAAGCCUUGGGGCUAAUACCCUCGAGGAAGGACAUCACCCACAGAAGAAGCACCGGCUAACUCCGUGUCAGCAGCCGCGGUAAACGGAGGGUGCGAGCGUUAAUCGGAAUUACUGGGCGUAAAGCGCGCGUAGGCGGUCUGAUAAGCCGGUUGUGAAAGCCCCGGGCUCAACCUGGGAACGGCAUCCGGAACUGUCAGGCUAGAGUGCAGGAGAGGAAGGUAGAAUUCCCGGUGUAGCGGUGAAAUGCGUAGAGAUCGGGAGGAAUACCAGUGGCGAAGGCGGCCUUCUGGACUGACACUGACGCUGAGGUGCGAAAGCGUGGGUAGCAAACAGGAUUAGAUACCCGUGUAGUC
rnacentral:rRNA from 1 species